UACAUGGGGUGCAAACGUUGCUCGGAAUUAUUGGGCGUAAAGCGCACGUAGGCGGUUCGUUAGGUCAGUGGUGAAAGCCCGCGGCUCAACCGUGGAAUUGCCAUUGAAACUGAAUAGCUUGAGUACAGUUGAAGUGGGCGGAAUACAUCAUGUAGCGGUGAAAUGCUUAGAUAUGAUGUAGAACACCGAUUGCGAAGGCAGCUCACUAAGCUGUAACUGACACUGAGGCACGAAAGCGUGGGUAGCGAACAGG
rnacentral:rRNA from 1 species